AUUGAACGCUGGCGGCAUGCUUAACACAUGGCAAGUCGAACGGAAACGAUGGAAGCUUGCUUCCGGCGUCGAGUGGCGGACGGGUGAGUAAGCAUAGGAAUCUGCCUAUUAGUGGGGGAUAACUAUCCGAAAGGGUAGCUAAUACCGCAUAAAUCUCUGAGGAGGAAAGCAGGGGAUCUUCGGACCUUGUGCUGAUAGAUGAGCCUAUGUCGGAUUAGCUUGUUGGUGGGGUAAUGGCCUACCAAGGCGACGAUCCGUAGCUGGUUUGAGAGGAUGAUCAGCCACAUCGGGACUGAGACACGGCCCGAACUCCUACGGGAGGCAGCAGUGGGGAAUAUUGGACAAUGGGGGCAACCCUGAUCCAGCAAUGCCGCGUGUGUGAAGAAGGCCUUAGGGUUGUAAAGCACUUUCAGACGCGAGGAAACGGUAGUAACUAAUAAUUGCUACAAUUGACGUUAACGUCAGAAGAAGCACCGGCUAACUCCGUGCCAGCAGCCGCGGUAAUACGGAGGGUGCGAGCGUUAAUCGGAAUUACUGGGCGUAAAGCGCGCGUAGGCGGUUAUUUAAGUCAGAUGUGAAAGCCCUGGGCUCAACCUAGGAAUUGCAUUUGAAACUGGGUAACUUGAGUAUGGUAGAGGUAAGCGGAAUUUCCAGUGUAGCAGUGAAAUGCGUAGAGAUUGGAAGGAAUAUCGAUGGCGAAGGCAGCUUACUGGGCCAAUACUGACGGUGAGGUGCGAAAAGCGUGUGUAGCGAACGGG
rnacentral:rRNA from 1 species